UGCUUCAACCUAGGUAGAACAAACAUCUAGUUGGUAAUGUCCAUCUCAUAUCAGCCAGAGACAAAGCAACCCCGUGUUUGUCCCAACUUGGCUUUUCAUCUGUGCCUGUGCCUGGUUCAUGCCGUGAUACAUGG